rnacentral:rRNA from 1 species
CCCUUAGACGUUCUGGGCCGCACGCGCGCUAAACUGACCAGUGCAACAAGCAUCCGUCCUUGGCCGACAGGCUCGGGCAAUCUUUGAACGCUGGUCGUGAUGGGGAUAGACUUUUGCAAUUUUUGGUCUUCAACGAGGAAUUCCUAGUAAACGCAAGUCAUCAACUUGCAUUGAUUACGUCCCUGCCCUUUGUACACACCGCCCGUCGCACCUACCGAUUGAAUGGUCCGGUGAAGCCUCCGGAUUGGCGCGCACCUCGGUGCCGCCGAGAAGUUGGCUAAACCUUACCAUUUAGAGGAAGGUGAAGUCGUAACA